rnacentral:ncRNA from 1 species
CAGAGUAGAGCCAGCGCGUUAAGUGCCGUGGGAUGGGAGGUCGCCCACGGACGAAACACCUCGUGUGUGCGGUGCUGUCUCGCAUCCGCUGC